CGCGACGCAUGCAUGUCGGUGGCCUGCGGAAGGAUCAUUA
rnacentral:rRNA from 1 species